rnacentral:rRNA from 1 species
UGCGUAGGCGGAAUGAUAAGUUAGUGGUGAAAGCCCCCGGCUCAACCGGGGAACAGCCAUUAAUACUGUCAUUCUUGAGUAUAGUUGAAGUGGGCGGAAUGUAUCAUGUAGCGGUGAAAUGCUUAGAUAUGAUACAGAACACCGAUAGCGUAGGCAGCUUGCUAAACUAUAACUGACGCUCAGGCACGAAAGCGUGGGGAGCAAACAGGAUUAGAUACCCUGGUAGUCC